GGACUACCCGGGUAUCUAAUCCUGUUUGCUACCCACGCUUUCGUGUCUCAGCGUCAGUUGCGGUCCAGAAAGCCGUCUACACCACAGGUGUUCCUCCUGAUAUCUACGCAUUUCACCGCUACACCAGGAAUUCCACUUUCCCAUCCCGCACUCUAGCCCCCCAGUUUUCGGCGCACCCUCCCAGUUGAGCCGGGAGAUUUCACACCAAACUUAGGGGACCGCCUACACACCCUUUACGCCCAGUAACUCCGAACAACGCUUGCUGCCUACGUAUUACCGCGGCUGCUGGCAC
rnacentral:rRNA from 1 species